UUGACGAAAUCUCUCGAAUUUGGACUGAAUCACUUCGAUCUUUGCUCGAGUUAUCUCCCAAAGCUUUCUCUACCUCUCUCUCUCAAUACACACAAUAUUCGAUAUCUCUCUAAUCAUACAAAACCUAAUAAUAAUAGUGUUUUUAAUGGGCUCAUUGGAAAACAAAUUCGAUCUCCUAAAACAAGUUGGAUUCUGAGACAAAAUUCAUGGGCUGACUUUCAGGCCUGAUUCUGGACUGCUACAGCUGGAUUUUGAUUGCUGGCCCAUUUUAAACUUGUAGAAAAUUUCGAUAUCUUCGCGUGGGCUGUUAAAUCGCCCAAUUCUGACGUCCGGAACUCAAGUUAUGGCCUAAAUAAGAUUUGCUGCGCAGGUAGCCCAUAAAAUCCGAAUUUCCAUCAAAUAAAAGCCCAAAUAAGCUAAUUCAUCCAACUUAAGAAUAAUUAUUUUCCUGCCAUUAAACACUUAAAAUCAAUUAGUAAUAACCCGAUUAUUUACAAAAUACUUCAAUUAUGGGAAUAAAAUCAUAUAAAAGCAUAUAUAAAUAUAUGCUCUAUCAAAUAUCCCCAUACUUAGUGUUUUGCACGUCCUCGGGCAAAUAAAAUAAAUAAAACUGACACCUAAUAUAUAUAUACCACUUCCGUAGGUGAUCACGGUUGCAUUUGGCAUAUGCAACAAGCCCUUUAAACCCCUAGGCAGCCCUAGUGGACGAGUAAGGUCUCGUGAGGGUUUAUAGUGAAUGUACCCACAAAAUUCAUUUUUUUUUCUGCCAACUCUUAAGAAUGCAACUAAUAUGAAUGCAAACUAAAUGAAUAUGCAUAGAUCCCAAUCAUGAAAUUAUCAACCUUGUCAAUAUAUAAUCCUCAGAAUAUGCAACAAUUAAGGAUUUCAUCUAUCACACAUAUUAGUCAUGCAACUCUUCCACUGCAAGUACGGAGUGCAUCGUGUGUGCUCAACAUGCUCUCUAAUGAAACAAAACAGAGACCAACAAACUUCAACAGAAUCUUAACCAUGAGUCGUUAAUCAGAAUAAUGCUUAAACACUCCGUUACAUUAGAGCCAACUAUAGCUUAGGGUCACCAAGGAACUUCCAUGCCUCUCCUAAAUAUAUAUAUGCUUCUUCUCUUUUUUUUUUCAUUUUUUUUUCAGCAUCUAUUAUUUGGUGUGUACAUGCUCGGUCAAAGGUCGGAACGCUUCUCAGGGUCAGUGAGUUACGACCACCAUAAGACUUCACCAACUAAAUUGUUCACAUGCGAUUUAGGUGGCUUAUUUGACCGUGCAAUGGUUGAGAUCCCUAAAGACUUAUACACUAAUACCCAUUUAGCGAGUGUUGGGUCAGCAAUCCCAAACCAUGAAAGGCUUUAGGUUACUAGGCACAAAGUCCCCUCAGACUUAAUUACUCGAGUAUUAAUGAGCCCAACCUAAUCAAUUCUACCACCAUUUUUUUGUGAACUUUAUUGCUAAUACACGUAUCUUUUUUUUUCUUUUUUCUUUUCUCUCUUUUUUUUUAGAAAGGCAUGUACAUCCCAAAGCUCCCCCUCACUUGAGAAUUAUAGACUCUAAGCUCAAAAGGGAAUAGUCAAAAUUCUACGCCCGGCUCAAUAGUUAAGACUCAAGAAAUAAGCUAGUCUAAAUCUCGCCUCUAGAACAGUUAUUGUGUAAUUACAAAUUCCGUACAAGUAAUUUCUAAGCAUGCAAGACAUCACAUAUGAUCAUGACUACUAACCAAAAAAUUAUGCAAAUAAACUCAUCAUAGGAAAUUGACUUGGUCGACAGGCAUUCAUGGAAUUAUGCAAAUGCAAACUAAAAAGAAAACAAAUAAAUUAAAAUAAAAAUCUACAAAAAAAUAAAAUUGCAUGCUAAAUUAAAUAGCUAUAUGCUUUAAUUUAAAUGCAACUAUCAUGAAUUUCCUAAAUUAAGACAAGGCAACAUAUAAUUUUUAUUCUAAUUUUUUUUAAUAUUAAUAUUAUUAUUCGUGAGAACACAUCCCCACACUUAAAUGGUUCAUUGUCCUCAAUGAAUAAUAUAUAAUGUAACUAUAAAUUAAUAUAAAAAUAAUAUAAUAUAAUAUAAUAAAUAGUUAAAGAAUACUCCCCUGAGCUAACAGCUCCUUCCAGUAAGUUUAGUUGAAGUGUAACAGACUUGUAUCUAAACAGCAAGCUUGCUAAAGUGGUUGGUGCAUGAGUACUGAGACUUGGAGGUGUAGGGUUCAAUUCUCCUUGCCUGCAUCUAAGCAAGUGCACAGAAGACAUACAUGAAAAUUGGGCUGGGCCUUGCUUACUGUUAACGCACGGUCGGCAGCAAAUAUACAUAUAUAUUUGUCCUGGCAUUGGAAUCAAUGUGGGUGGUGGCCAAGCGGUAUGCGCUUGUGCAGUGAAAUCUAGAGGUUCAGGGUUCGAAGCCCUCUGGAAUGCGCACGGCCUAAAAGCGCAGGAUAUCCAGUAGCUCGUGCACGGACAGCACACAUCUCGCACCCCAGGCACGCACAAAUAGCAGUCUUGUUAGUCUUUCUUUUUUUUUUCUUUUUUUUUCACGUCCAAAAUUAUUAAAAUUUAUUCCUAUAAUCCUGCAAAACUUCACAAAAAUUAUUAGGGCAUCACGUGGGAGUAAAAAAAAAUUAAAUAAAAAUAAAUAAAUGUAUAUAUAUAUAUAUAUAUGAACAAAGUUCCAUGUAGUCCACAUAUUUACUGUAGUACCGUAGACCACGUAUGUUCUGCAACUAUAAAAUGACAUAAAAACAUUACAAAAUGUGCUAUUUUGCAAAUCAUGUUCUAUAAACAUCAUUAUUUUGUUAAAAAUUUUGAAAAUCCUAAACAUUCUACAAGUUAAAUAGUGAAAAACACAUUAUUCUGCAAAACAUGUUAAGUUUGCAGAACAUAUUUACAUAUUACAGAACAUAUGUGUUCUACUUGUCGAACAUAAAUGAUUUUCAAUAUUUUUAAUGAAAUAGUGAUAUUUAUAGAAUGUAUUUCACAAAAUAACAAGUUUCAUACAUUUUGCAAUGUUUUUAUGCCUAUCUAUAGUUGCAGAACAUACGUGGUCUACGGUACUACAGUAAAUAUGUGGACUACAUGGAACUUAACUCAAAUUUAUAUAUAUAUAUAUCCCUAAAAAAUACAAAAAUUAUAUUAUAUAUUAUAAUAACUUACGAGACAUUGGGUUGCCUCCCAAAAAGCGCUGUCGUUAACGUCAUUUAGCCGGACGUCAAUUACCUCAUUUUUCUCAUGGUGGCUCUUUCAAAACCAUCUCAAAUGGUCCAAGUGUCAAAUCCAUCUCGUUUAAUUCAUCUUCUCGGAAUUUCAAAGAAUUGUUUUCAUCACCUUCAACUUCAUUCUCGCGAAUAUCAUCAGUGACUUUCUUCACAACUUCUUCAACAAUAUUCACAGCAAAGCUUUCAGUUUCAAGUGUUGGUGCCUUCAUAACUUGAUCAAGAUCAAACUCCACUUUUUCUUCACCCACGUUUAGUGCAAGCUUGCCAGCCUUCACAUCAAUACUUGCUCCAGCAGUAGCCAAGAAUGGUCUUCCCAAGAUAAUCGGAAUCUCAACAUCCUCAUUCAUCUCCAGAAUAACAAAAUCACAAGGAAUAACAAAUUUAUCCACGUUCACCAAAACAUCCUCAAGUACACCCAGUGGAUCUUUUAUAGUUCGAUCUGCCAGUUGAAGUGAUAUCUUUGUUUUCUUUAGCUCUCCCAAACCAAGUCUUUUGUAGAUUGAAUAUGGCAUCAAACUCACACUAGCUCCAAGAUCACAUAAUGCUCUUUUUACUCCGACUUUCCCAAUAGUGCACGGCAAAGAAAAGCUCCCAGGAUCCUUGAGCUUAGGAGGAAUAUUGCGUUGUAUAACAGCACUACACUCUUCAUUAAGAUUGAUUGUUUCCACUGCCUCUAACUUCUUGCGAUUAGAUAAUACCUCUUUCAUGAAUUUCGCAUAAAGGGGCAUUUGAGCCAAAGCAUCAGCAAAAGGAAUGCUAAUGUGUAUCUCCCGAAACAUCUUUAAAAAUUUCUCAUAUUGCUUCUCUAACUUCCGGUUUGUCAACCUUUGUGGAAAAGGAAUCGGAGGCACGUAUUGUUUCACAUUAGCUUUCGGUGCAAUAUCAUCUUUUGGCUCAUCCACAAUCUUUUCAGCAAUUUUCACAGUAGUUUGGUAUGACUUUCUCUUUUUAGGAGGAAGAGUUGCAUCAUUCAGUUCCGGGGCUCUAACUUCUGGUAAUUCUCUGCCACUCCUCAAUGUGAUAGCCUUGCAGUGUUCUUGGGCAUUCACAUCUGGUUGACUAGGUAGUGAUCCCUGCUCACGAACACCAACCUUAUUAGCAAUUUGGCCAAUCUGCAUUUCUAACAUCUUCUGUGACGAAGCUAUCUGAUCAAUCCUUGACUCAACUUUCUCGAAUUUAGUCUCGAUAUUAGCAAAAGCCCCAGUAGUUCCUUGUAUCAUCUUGCCGAGUGCAACUUCCCAAUCAGCAGGCUCUUUUUUGUCAUUAGGUAGAGGUUGAAACUGUUGUUGACUUUGAUACUGCUGACGUGGUUGAAAACCAGGAGGCGGAUUUUGCUUUGGAGCUGCAUAUGAUGGAUUAACAGCAUGAUUAUUGUUGUAGGAAAGAUUGUUGUUGGGCCUCUGAUUUGGAUUGUAAUAAGAAUUAUUCUGAAUAGGCCAUGAUUGUCUUCCUUGGAUGAAAGCUGCUUCGUCCGGAAACUGUUGUGUAUAAGAGUGCUGAUUAACACUAGGAUCCAUAUAUCCUUCCAUCGGAGAAGAGAUAGCAUUGACACUUGCCUUUUGCCCACGGACCUCUUGAGUAAGAGCAUCCAAUUUCAAAGUGAGUAAGUUCAUCAUCUCGGUGUCUUGUGCUGAUUUCACUGAACUUGUACCACUGGGUGCCCAAGCAUAGUUAUUUGAGGCCAAUUCCUCAAGAAGUGCCUUAGCUUGAUGAACUGGUGCUUUCUUAAAAUUACCUCCAGCUGCAACAUCCAAACUCAGCCGAAUAUCAGAAUUUAAAGCUCCAUAGAAAGUACUCAGAACCAUCCACUCCUCGUAACCAUGAUGUGGACAUUUUCUCAACAAUGCCUUGUAUCUCUCCCAUGCUUGAUACAAGCCUUCACCUGGUUGUGCUUUGAAAGUCAGAAUAAUUGCUCUCAUUUGCUGAGUCUUGUCAGAAGGAUAAUAUUUGGAUAGGAACUCGGUCGAAAGAUUAUCCCAAGUAGCUAGAGCAGUAUCUGACAGCUGUUGAAACCAUUCUAAAGCCUUUCCCUUUAUAGAAUAAGGGAACAUGUGGAGACGAAUCUGAUCUGCUGUGACACCAUUAAUUCUGAAGGAACCACACAUUUGCACGAAGCGCUCUAGAUGGCGGUGUGGAUCCUCUCGUUCAAUGUCUCCUUCAAAAGCUGAAUUACUCACCAUCUGAAUAAGACUGGGAUUGAUGUUAUAUUGAGCUGCACCAAUCUCAGGAGUUUUGUACAUGCAAUUCGCAGGAUUAGGAGUCUCAUGAUCCUGAAUGGAUGACUCAUCAGGCACAACAAUAUUGAGAUUUCCGUUUGGAUUAUUGUUAUCAUCCAUCUUGGCCUCCUCUUCCUUUCUCCUUGCUUCUUUCCUUCUAACUCGAAAAGUACGCUCAAUUUCUGGAUCUGGUUCGAAAUUUCCAACACUUUUCGAUCUUCGCAUAUAUAUGGUGCACCUGAAACGAAACACCAAUGACAUAGAUCUUGAAAACAAAUUUAAUAAAAUCUAAACAAUAAGAAAUAAUUAACCUAAACUUAAUAUUGCUGCCUUCCCCGGCAGCGGCGCCAAUUUGUUGCAGUGAAAUUAUGUAAAGUUCGUUCUCAGGGAAGGACUGAAUACAAUAUCAAAUCAAGUAUAUUACUCCUUUCUAUUUAGAAGUUUAGAGAAUAAAUUGUGGUUUUUACUAUCAACUAAAUUAAACUAAUAAAGCAAUUAAAAGUGUGAAUUAACGAUGAUAAAAAGCAAUCCAAGAAUCAGGUUUCUUUGCUGGCUACAAUGAAUGUCAAUCAAUUGUGAUAAACAAGUCUCCACUCUGCUAAAAACAAUCCUUCUAUUGAUUAUAAUGUUCUCUCCCAAGAUACAAAAUAAUACCUAUAACUUAAUCUUGAAGUCACUCCCAUGAUCAAUCAAAACCAACUUAUAAGCUAUCACGAACCAAGGAUUUUCUGUUUCACAACUCGCCUAAUAAUCUCCCGAUUAAUUAAUCAAGUUAUGUCUGUCAUAUCAUGUACAAGAAAUAUAAAUCCUCUCCCGAUUCAUUAUAAAUCCUACAGAUACAAUUACAGGUUCGCGACUCCUAUAACUGUGUUAAGCGCUCAAUGACAGAUUAGCAUACAUAGAGAAACCACAAUCUUAGAUCAAACAAACAUAUUAAGCCAACAAAUACUCCCCAAUCCUCGGAUUAGAGGAUUAGUUACCCAUAACAAUUAAAGAAAACACGAAUAUAUAUAUUACUGAAAUCAUGUCAAAAGAGUACAAGAGUGAAGAAAAUACAACUUGACGAAAUCUCUCGAACUUGGACUGAAUCCCUUCAAUCUUUGCUCAAGUUAUCUCCCAAAGCUUUCUCUACCUCUCUCUCUCAAUACACAAUAUUCAAUCUAUCUCUAAUAAUACCAACCCUAAUAAUAAUAAUAGUGUUUUUAAUGGUUUCCUUGAAAAACAAAUCCAAUUUCCUAAAACAAGUUGGAUUCUGAAAAGAAAUUCGCUGGCUGACUUUCAGGCCUGAUUCUGGACUGCUACAGCUGGAUUUUGAUUGCUGGCCCAUUUUAAAAUUGUAGAAAAUUUCGAUAUCUUCGCGUGGGCUGUUGAAUCGUCUAAUUCUGACGCCCGGAACUCAAGUUAUGGCCCAAACAAGAUUUGUUGCGCAUGUAGCCCAUAAAGUCCGAAUUUCCAUCAAAUAAAAGCCCAAAUAAGCUAAUUUCAUCCAACUUAGGAAUAUUUAUUUUCCUGCCAUCAAACACUUAAAAUCAAUUAGUAAUAACCCGAUUAUUUACAAAAUACUACAAUUAUGGGAAUAAAAUCAUAUAAAAACAUAUAUAAAUAUAUGCUCUAUCAAAUAUCCCCACACUUAGUAUUUUGCACGUCCUCGGGCAAAUAAAAUAAAUAAAACUAACACCUAAUAGAUAUAUACCACUUCCGUAGGUGAUCACGGUUGCAUUUGGCAUAUGCAACAAGCCCUUUAAACCCCUAGGCAGCCCUAGUGGACGAGUAAGGUCUCGUGAGGGUUUAUAGUGAAUGUACCCACAAAAUUCAUUUUUUUUUCUGCCAACUCUUAAGAAUGCAACUAAUAUGAAUGCAAACUAAAUGAAUAUGCAUAGAUCCCAAUCAUGAAAUUAUCAACCUUGUCAAUAUAUAAUCCUCAGAAUAUGCAACAAUUAAGGAUUUCAUCUAUCACACAUAUUAGUCAUGCAACUCUUCCACUGCAAGUACGGAGUGCAUCGUGUGUGCUCAACAUGCUCUCUAAUGAAACAAAACAGAGACCAACAAACUUCAACAGAAUCUUAACCAUGAGUCGUUAAUCAGAAUAAUGCUUAAACACUCCGUUACAUUAGAGCCAACUAUAGCUUAGGGUCACCAAGGAACUUCCAUGCCUCUCCUAAAUAUAUAUAUGCUUCUUCUCUUUUUUUUUUCAUUUUUUUUUCAGCAUCUAUUAUUUGGUGUGUACAUGCUCGGUCAAAGGUCGGAACGCUUCUCAGGGUCAGUGAGUUACGACCACCAUAAGACUUCACCAACUAAAUUGUUCACAUGCGAUUUAGGUGGCUUAUUUGACCGUGCAAUGGUUGAGAUCCCUAAAGACUUAUACACUAAUACCCAUUUAGCGAGUGUUGGGUCAGCAAUCCCAAACCAUGAAAGGCUUUAGGUUACUAGGCACAAAGUCCCCUCAGACUUAAUUACUCGAGUAUUAAUGAGCCCAACCUAAUCAAUUCUACCACCAUUUUUUUGUGAACUUUAUUGCUAAUACACGUAUCUUUUUUUUUCUUUUUUCUUUUCUCUCUUUUUUUUUAGAAAGGCAUGUACAUCCCAAAGCUCCCCCUCACUUGAGAAUUAUAGACUCUAAGCUCAAAAGGGAAUAGUCAAAAUUCUACGCCCGGCUCAAUAGUUAAGACUCAAGAAAUAAGCUAGUCUAAAUCUCGCCUCUAGAACAGUUAUUGUGUAAUUACAAAUUCCGUACAAGUAAUUUCUAAGCAUGCAAGACAUCACAUAUGAUCAUGACUACUAACCAAAAAAUUAUGCAAAUAAACUCAUCAUAGGAAAUUGACUUGGUCGACAGGCAUUCAUGGAAUUAUGCAAAUGCAAACUAAAAAGAAAACAAAUAAAUUAAAAUAAAA
rnacentral:lncRNA from 1 species